rnacentral:rRNA from 1 species
UACGGGGGGAGCAAGCGUUGUUCGGAUUUACUGGGCGUAAAGGGCGCGUAGGCGGCGUGACAAGUCACUUGUGAAAUCUCCGGGCUUAACUCGGAACGGUCAAGUGAUACUGUCGGACUAGAGUACAGAAGGGGCAACUGGAAUUCUCGGUGUAGCGGUGAAAUGCGUUGAUAUCAUCAGGAACACCGGUGGCGAAAGCGGCUUACUGGGUCUCUUCUGACGCUGAGAAACGAAAGCUAGGGGGGAGCGAAGGGG